CCUACGGGCGGCUGCAGUGGGGAAUUUUGCGCAAUGGGCGAAAGCCUGACGCAGCAACGCCGCGUGGGUGAUGAAGGUCUUCGGAUCGUAAAACCCUGUCGUCGAGGACGAAGGUGGGGGUGUUAAUAGCAUCCUUGCUUGACGGUACUCGGAGAGGAAGCCCCGGCUAACUCUGUGCCAGCAGCCGCGGUAAUGCAGAGGGGGCAAGCGUUAUUCGGAAUUAGUGGGCGCGAAGGGCGCGGUCACGGGUGUAAUCCCCGAGCUCAACUUGGGAACUGCAUCUGAGACUGGAAGGCUAGAGUACUGGAGAGGGUGGUAGAAUUCCACGUGUAGCGGUGAAAUGCGUAGAGAUGUGGAGGAAUACCAGUGGCGAAGGCGGCCACCUGGACAGUAACUGACGCUGAGGCGCGAAAGUGUGGGUAGCAAACAGGAUUAGAUACCCUAGUAGUC
rnacentral:rRNA from 1 species